rnacentral:rRNA from 1 species
CGGGCCUCAUGCCAUCAGAUGUGCCCAGAUGGGAUUAGCUAGUAGGUGGGGUAAUGGCUCACCUAGGCGACGAUCCCUAGCUGGUCUGAGAGGAUGACCAGCCACACUGGAACUGAGACACGGUCCAGACUCCUACGGGAGGCAGCAGUGGGGAAUAUUGCACAAUGGGCGCAAGCCUGAUGCAGCCAUGCCGCGUGUGUGAAGAAGGCCUUCGGGUUGUAAAGCA